AACGAACGCUGGUAGCGUGGAUAGGCAUGCAAGUCGAACGGGAUCCGGAAGGCAGCAAUGUCGGCCGGUGAGAGUGGCGGAAGGGCGAGGAACACGUGGGCAACCUGUCUUGAGGUGGGGAAAACCUCGGGAAACUGAGGCUAAUACCGAAUGUGGCGCGGAAGGGCAUCCUUCCUGCGCUAAAGGGGGCGAAAGCUCCCCCUCUUCGAGGGGCUCGCGCACCAUCAGCUAGUUGGCGGGUAACGGCCCACCAAGGCUCACGGUUAGCUGGUCUGAGAGGAUGGCCAGCCGCACUGGGACUGAGAUACUGCCCAGACUCCUACGGGAGGCUGCAGUCGAGGAUCAUUCGCAAUGGGCGAAAGCCUGACGAUGCGACGCUGCGUGGAGGAAUGAAGGCCUUCGGGUUGUAAACUCCUGUCAUGAGGGAAAAGGAGACCCUGCCCAAUACGCAGGGGAUUUGAUGGUACCUCAAGAGGAAGGGACGGCUAACUCUGUGCCAGCCGCGGC
rnacentral:rRNA from 1 species